UACGUAUGUCUCAAGCGUUACCCGGAAUUACUGGGUGUAAAGAGUUCGUAGGUGGAUUAUUAAGUCAGGUAUGAAAGACCGGAGCUUAACUUCGAGUUUGUGCUUGAAACUGGUAAUCUAGAAUUGGGGAGAGGUAAGUAGAAUUUUAAGUGUAGGGGUGCAAUCCGUAGAUACUUAGAAGAAUACCGAAAGCGAAGGCAACUUACUGGAACCAUAUUGACGCUAAAGAACGAAAGCGUGGGGAGCGAAA
rnacentral:rRNA from 1 species